rnacentral:tRNA from 1 species
AUUUAUAUAGUAUAAAAAUUAUCCUUGGCCUCCAACCGAGAAAUCUAGUAUCACUAGUAUAAAUA